rnacentral:lncRNA from 1 species
GACUCAAUAAAAUGACAUAACUGCCACUAAAAAAAAACAAAAUGUAAGUAACUACGUCCCCCAGACAUAAACAACACUGUCCCCAGUUUUAUACAGUCUGGGAUUGGCGAAGGAAAUAAAUAAAAAGCUGUAAAAAUGUAACAAGGUUCAGUGAGUAUACCGGCUUCCUGCGUUGAGCGUCGAACAACGCAUUGAAGAGCCGGUCGAUGCUUGAUAAUGUGGCGUUGAUCGACGCUGGCCAGUCGUCAAUUGAUGCUGGUCCUCAACACGUAAACCUCUAAUUUUUUUUUUUAAUAAACGAAAAAGUACCUAAUAGUGGCUUUUCUCCCACUUAGCGCUUGUUUAUAGUCUUUAGCAUGACUGUGUGGUUUCAGGACAAGUCUUGGGAAGGUGGAGAACCUACUGGAAUACAAGUAUCAACAUCUUAUGCAGAUAUUUCAAACCAGCAGCCUACAAAACUCCUGAUUGCAUCAUCAUUUAUGGCCCUCUGCUAUAGCUGCCGUCGUAGGUAGCACCUAUCUAAUCCACUCUAAUUUCCAACAGCUCUGCACAGAUCACGACGG